UGCAACUUGAAUCGUUUCGCAUCUAUGUCAAACCGUCAGAGAUACACUUGAAAUCCAUGAAGGAGUAUAAAUCCAUCAAAUGGUACCUGUAUUGAACUCGAUUUGGGUUACAUUUGACUCCUAGGGUUCCUGUCGAGACUUCCAGAGGUAUGUUUUGGUUGAUGUGGCUGUUUGUUUGAUACUAUUUAUUGUUUGGCUUGUGGUGUGUCGUGGAACCGAGUGUAUUCGUUAAGAUGGGAUUCAUCAUUGAAUGGAUCAGAGAAACGUGUCUUUGUUCUUUGAAUUCCGUUGAGAUAGUAUAUGGAAGCUGCACGUGAUUCCGGAGUGAUGAUAUGGAGACUGAACAAAAGGUUGUAGACAUACUGCCACCCGCAAGCCAGAACGAAACUUUGACUCAGUUGAUUGGUCAACCUGCCUAAACUUGAGCAACUUUCUGCAGAAGAAAUAUCAGCAGCUGCUUGUGAUGAUAAACCAAAUCGUUUGGCAGUGGGCCGCCUUUCUAACGACAUGUGCAAGAUAAUCGAGGAAAACACUGUUGAUUCAGUAGAAACAUAUAUUACCAACAAACCUGCGAGUUUCAAGCUGAAAAAGAACCUUCAGCCACUAGAAUCAAUACAUCAACCAUCUCACCCGUAAUUAAAACCGAGAAGAGCAAUGGUGACGUCGCGACUUCAAGUCCACAUCAGCAUGAACCGGGUCCAGUCAACGGGACUGCGACUGCUGAUGUGUACGAGGAAUAUAAACUAACAGUUACAUCAUACUUUCCAAAUUGUGUGUAUGAGGAUCUUACUCUCAUAUCUGAUGACUGUAAAAUUACAUCCAUCACUAAGUUGUCACUUUUAGCCCAUAUAAGACAAUUAUUGCAUUGUGUUCUUUUGA
rnacentral:lncRNA from 1 species